rnacentral:rRNA from 1 species
CCUACGGGGAGCAGCAGUGGGGAAUAUUGGGCAAUGGGCGCAAGCCUGACCCAGCAACGCCGCGUGAAGGAAGAAGGCUUUCGGGUUGUAAACUUCUUUUGUCAGGGAAGAGUAGAAGACGGUACCUGACGAAUCAGCCACGGCUAACUACGUGCCAGCAGCCGCGGUAAUACGUAGGUGGCAAGCGUUGUCCGGAUUUACUGGGUGUAAAGGGCGUGUAGCCGGGUUGACAAGUCAGAUGUGAAAUCCUGCGGCUUAACCGCAGAACUGCAUUUGAAACUGUUGAUCUUGAGUACUGGAGAGGCAGACGGAAUUCCUAGUGUAGCGGUGAAAUGCGUAGAUAUUAGGAGGAACACCAGUGGCGAAGGCGGUCUGCUGGACAGCAACUGACGGUGAGGCGCGAAAGCGUGGGGAGCAAACAGGAUUAGAUACCCUAGCAGUC